GCCAGGCAUGGUGGCACACACCUGUAAUCCCAGUGACUCAGGAGGCUGAGGCAGGAGAAUUGAAAGUUUGAGGCCAGCCUCAGCAAUUUGUCGAGACCCUAUCUCAG
rnacentral:sRNA from 1 species